rnacentral:rRNA from 1 species
CAACUCGCCUGCAUGAAGUCGGAAUUGCUAGUAAUCGCGGAUCAGCAUGCCGCGGUGAAUACGUUCUCGGGCCUUGUACACACCGCCCGUCACACCAUGGGAGUCGGUAACACCCGAAGUCUGUAGCCUGACGCAAGAGGGCGCAGCCGAAGGUGGGAUUGAUGACUGGGGUGAAGUCGUAACAAGGUAAC